GUGGGUAGGCAGGUUAGAUAGGAGAGGGUAGGUUAGAUAGGUAGUGGGUAGGCAGGUUAGAUAGGAGAGGGUAGGUUAGAUAGGUAGUGGGUAGGCAGGUUAGAUAGGAGAGGGCAGGUUAGAUAGGUAGUGGGUAGGCAGGUUAGAUAGGAGAGGAUAGGUUAGAUAGGUAGUGGGUAGGCAGGUUAGAUAGGAGAGGGUAAGUUAGAUAGGUAGUGGGUAGGCAGGUUAGAUAGGAGAGGGUAGGUUAGAUAGGUAGUGGGUAGGCAGGUUAGAUAGGAGAGGGCAGGUUAGAUAGGUAGUGGGUAGGCAGGUUAGAUAGGUAGUGGGUAGGCAGGUUAGAUAGGAGAGGGUAGGUUAGAUAGGUAGAGGGUAGGCAGGUUAGAUAGGAGAGGGCAGGUUAGAUAGGUAGUGGGUAGGCAGGUUAGAUAGGAGAGGGUAGGUUAGAUAGGUAGUGGGUAGGCAGGUUAGAUAGGAGAGGGCAGGUUAGAUUGAUAGGUUGUGGGUAGGCAGGUUAGAUAGGAGAGGGGGGCUUUGACAUUUACUUUCU
ensembl:lncRNA